CCUUCUGAUCUGCAGCAUGGGGAAAGGCAAAGAAAAGUACCAAAGGAGGCUAAAUAAACCUCAAAGAAUAAUAAAAAUGGGACACCCUCCCCCCCUAGACCUUCAGGUGGUCAUUUUAAAGAUCUAUUGGAUAUGGCUGCAGGUGCACUUCACUGUUUCUGGCUUUCAAAGAGGUGAACUUUUGCAUGGAACUUCGGUAGAUUGUUUUAAUCAACCAACCUUCAAAAGAAGAUGAAAACAAAGGAGGGCAAAGGAUACGUGGAUUAGAGAACGUGAUAUGUGGAGAGUCUGAGAAAGACAAAUUCAGUGAAAGAGACGGCACGGGGUGAACAUGACCACAGUCUAAAACACCUUCAAGGGGUGUCAGGAGAACUGCAGGAAGAAGGAGCAGUUGUUACUAAGGCAAGGCCAGCCAAGAAGGCUGCUGACAAGAUGGAUUAUAGAAGGAAGUCUCAAAGUCACUUAAGGAUGAGGAGCUGGAGGUUUGCAUGAAUAAUGCCAAUAAUCCUACAAAAAACUCUGCAACACUGAAAGGUUGGAAGAAACUGCUGCCUCUGCUCAGGGCACCACAAAAGCCAAUGCUGGUUGGUCUUCAUUGAAAGAAUGAGGAGAUUCCCAGUGCUGAGCAGGACUCUGCAAAGAGAAAGCUUUCCCUGGAGAAAUAAUGAGCUCUGGUGGUGGGUCCUCUCUGCA